rnacentral:rRNA from 1 species
UACGGGGGGUGCGAGCGUUGUCCGGAAUCACUGGGCGUAAAGGGCGCGUAGGUGGCCUGAUAAGGGUGUGGUGAAAGUCCGGGGCUCAACCCCGGAUCUGCCGUGCCGACUGUUGGGCUGGAGUACUGUAGUGGCAGGCGGAAUUCCGGGUGUAGCGGUGGAAUGCGUAGAGAUCCGGAGGAAGACCGGUGGCGAAGGCGGCCUGCUGGGCAGUUACUGACACUGAGGCGCGACAGCGUGGGGAGCAAACAGG